CAUAAUACCCAAUCUUUGUGCUCGUGGAUUCUUAUCUAUUUCCAGGGUUGUAGAUUUUAAGUUGUUGGUUAGGUUCUUGAAGGGCCUUUGGUUAAUAUAUAUCUGAAAUUGUUGCCCUUAUUUUAGUGGAUGGGCGUGAAAACUAGACAAAUUUAAUUAACCCUUUCUAUGUCCAGCCUUGUAGGGGAAUACUUUUUCUUGGUCCUCCUGGUACGGGAAAAACUAUGCUCGCCAAAGCUAUAGCCACUGAAGCUGGUGCAAAUUUUCUAAACAUCUCAAUGUCUAGUACUGAUUCAAAGUGGUAUGGUGAUUCGGAACAAUAUGGAUGGCAAUCUUCUCGACAGCCAGGAAAAUCGCUCCCUGUGUUGUAUUCGUUGAUGAGGUUGACAGCACUUUGGGUCGAAGAAACGAUCAUGACUCCUGAAUCACUCGUAGGAUAAUAACUGAAUUUAUGGUGAAUUGGGACGGUUUGCGCACAAAGGAUGAGGAAAGGAUCCUAGUUCUUGCAGCCACAAACAGGCCUUUCGACCUUGAUGAAUCUGUUAUCAGAAGACUGCCACGCUGAUUCAUGGUAAAAUUUGCCUGAUCUUGCAAACAGAACUGAGAUCCUAAAAUUUUAUUGGCCGAGGAAGACUUGACUCCUGAUGUUGAUAUUGUUGCAAUUGCUAGUAUGACUGAUGGCUUCUCUGGUAGUGAUCUCAAGAACCUGUGCAUCGCUGCUGCAUAUUGUCCCGUGAGAGAGUUUUUAAGGAAGGAAAAGGGAAAGAGAUCUCUUGAACCAAUAGAGGGAGUGCUGAACUACGGCCUUUAAAUAGGAAGGACUUCAAUUAUG